rnacentral:rRNA from 1 species
ACCCGCCUAGCCCACGCCCCUCUAUUGACCCGGCCCCUGUCUGCUCGGUUUUAGGUUGGGGUGACCACGGAGUAUAAAAUAACCUCCACGAAGAAAGGAGUAAUAAUCCUCAUCUAAGAGCCACACCUCUAAGAGCUAAUACAUUAACUUUUAAUGAUCCGAUAUUUGAUCAACGAACCAAGUUACCCUGGGGAUAACAGCGCAAUCCGCCUCAAGAGCUCCUAUCGACAGGUGGGUUUACGACCUCGAUGUUGGAUCAGGGUAUCCCAGUGGUGCAGCAGCUACCAAAGGUUCGUUUGUUCAACGAUUAAAACCCU